rnacentral:misc_RNA from 13 species
GAUCAUCUUCAGGGCCUUGUGUUGUCUGCAUUUCAGCAAAAAAGUUCUGACAUCGCCAACAAUGAGAAGAAACUCGCAUCGGCUCUCAAUCACAGAACUUUUUUGCUGAAAUGCAGACAACACAAGGCCCUGAAGAUGAUCU